rnacentral:misc_RNA from 1 species
UUUCCGUAGGUGAACCUGCGGAAGGAUCAUUAAAGUUAUAGUCCCCCGGCCCUCUGGGCUGGGGUCUUCUAUACCACCCUUUGUUUAUUACACCUUUGUUGCUUUGGCAGGCCUGCCCUCGCGCGGCUGGCUCCGGCCGGCUCGCGUCUGCCAGAGGACCUAUACUCUGUUUGUAUAUGAAGUCUGAGUACUAUAUAAUAGUUAAAACUUUCAACAACGGAUCUCUUGGUUCUG